rnacentral:rRNA from 1 species
CGGGGGGAGCAAGCGUUGUUCGGAUUUACUGGGCGUAAAGGGCGCGUAGGCGGUCAGCACAAGUCAGUUGUGAAAUCUCCGGGCUUAACUCGGAAAGGUCAACUGAUACUGUGCGACUAGAGUGCGGAAGGGGCAACUGGAAUUCUCGGUGUAGCGGUGAAAUGCGUAGAUAUCGAGAGGAACACCUGCGGCGAAGGCGGGUUGCUGGGCCGGUCCUGACGCUGAGACGCGAAGGCGUGGGGAGCGAACGGG